GCCUUCGUGGUGUAGUGGUCAGCACACUGAGCCGGUAUUUCAGAGGUCCGUGGUUCGAUUCCCGGAGAAGGCG
rfam:Stegodyphus mimosarum contig108144, whole genome shotgun sequence.